CCCAUGGAAGGUUGUGAGUCGCCUGAAUAGUAGUAGUUAUCGUUCUUGAAACUUAAAGAAUUUGGCGGUAUUUUAGUCUACUCAGAGGAACCUGUCCUAUAAUUGAUGAUCCACGAUUAAUUGCACUUAUUUUAAAUGUUUGUAUAUCGUCGUAGGUUGAAUGUUUUUAAAGAAAAUGGAAUAUUCAAAAUUUAUACUAAUAAAGAAAAUCAGAUCAAGAUACAGCGCAUAAAUAAGAAGAGAUGGGUUACAAUAAAUAAAUUUAUAUGGUUAAAAUAAUUAACAUUAUUUUAUAAAGUGGAUUUGAAAGUAAUGUAAUUUAGUUAAAUUACAUGAGUAUAGCUCUAGAAUAUGCACAUAUCGCCCGUCGCUCCCUCUCCAAGGGGGGAUAAGUCGUAACAUAGUAAGGGAGGGGGAGACGACUUUAGUGCUCUUCCUGUCACUCUGUCCCCAGAGGGAAAAAAGCACUAUCUCGGUUGUUAAAGGAUGAUGACAAGAGCGGGGGGAUGCUCUUCGUGUUGCUACUUAAAAAACGGCAUGCACCGCUGGUGGGGCGGGCCCCCGUCCUUCUUUUUGAUUCUCUUCUUGCGACCCUCCUCGCCGGGAGUGAGUGGUUAGUGAGUUGCUGCAUCAGUGGGAGGCGAAACCCUCUCACACCUCUCAUUCGUCGUGAGCGCAUGACUACCAAGGUAUGUAUUCUGUCGCUCCCACCCUUCGCACUUUUUGUUCAGUUACAGACAGUAACUCGCUUUGCUCGUGCUGUUCCAUCCAAUAGCCACUCAUUUCACGCUACACAUGCUAUUUCCACCUGUCUGCUUCUGAAGUCAAGUUUCUACAACUGACCAUUGAACCGUUUGAGGUUGGAGUCCUUGCUUUGAAAUUAGUGAUCAGUAAUGCUACGUCGCUUUAAUCUUAUGACUCCUGACAACGGUACGACAGCUAGCCAACUUACG
rnacentral:rRNA from 1 species